AACGCACAUUGCGCUCCCUGGCAUUCCUAGGAGCAUGUCUGUCUGAGCGUCAGUACACACCCUCCGCCCGCGUCUUUGUUGCCGCGGGCGGGUUCUGAGGGGGAGAGCGAGAGCACCCCCCCCUCUAAAGUGGAACGACAGCGGCCCGCCUGACCCAUGAAAGACGUAGUAAGAACCUCAAAGACUCAGAAUCGUCCGAGAUUGGAAGGGUAGAGACCUGCCUCGACGCGUAUUACAUCUAAGGUUUGACCUCAGAUCAGACAAGAAUACCCGCUGAACUUAA
rnacentral:misc_RNA from 3 species